AGGUGUCCUCGGAGAAAAUCUGUCUUGAAAACAAAUUAAAGGCGUUCGACUCGCCUCACACCUU
rnacentral:tRNA from 1 species